UCUAUCAGCUAUUGGCUUUAAACUUGCAGAACUAAAACUGCAUAAGUGAUAGGAUACCCUAUAGAAAGAGAAAGGCUAUUUUUUUCUAAGGUUUUUUAAAUCUCCCUUAUAAUUAAUUUUUGAGAGAAAUUUUGAGAGUUGAUUUAAGGAAAAAGAUUAAAAAACUUUUGCAAGGUAUAAAAAGUUAAAAAAUUUAGACAUUAAAGAUUAGAGAAUAGCCCUUUAAUCUUUUUUG
rnacentral:sRNA from 12 species